CGGGUCACCUCCGUGAAUGAAAUUGCGGAUCUGGACCCCUGUCCUGCUCAUAAAGCCGGC
rnacentral:ribozyme from 1 species